AUUGAACGCUGGCGGCAGGCUUAACACAUGCAAGUCGAGCGGGGUGAUGGUGCUUGCACUAUCACUUAGCGGCGGACGGGUGAGUAAUGCUUAGGAAUCUGCCUAUUAGUGGGGGACAACAUCUCGAAAGGGAUGCUAAUACCGCAUACGUCCUACGGGAGAAAGCAGGGGAUCACUUGUGACCUUGCGCUAAUAGAUGAGCCUAAGUCGGAUUAGCUAGUUGGUGGGGUAAAGGCCUACCAAGGCGACGAUCUGUAGCGGGUCUGAGAGGAUGAUACGCCAAACUGGGACUGAGACACGGCCCAGACUCCUACGGGAGGAAGCAGUGGGGAAUAUUGGACAAUGGGGGGAACCCUGAUCCAGCCAUGCCGCGUGUGUGAAGAAGGCCUUAUGGUUGUAAAGCACUUUAAGCGAGGAGGAGGCUCUUUUGGUUAAUACCCAAGAUGAGUGGACGUUACUCGCAGAAUAAGCACCGGCUAACUCUGUGCCAGCAGCCGCGGUAA
rnacentral:rRNA from 1 species